rnacentral:rRNA from 1 species
GUCUACGGCUAUGCUACCCUGAACAAACCCGAUUCUGUCUGAUCUCAGAAGCUAAGCAGGGUCGGACCUAGUUAGUACUUGGUUAGGAGACCACCUAGGAAGACCAGGUGCUGUAGGUG